GGAGCAUGUGGUUUAAUUCGAAGCAACGCGCAGAACCUUACCACGCCCUUGACAUACCGGUCGCGGACACAGAGAUGUGUCUUUCAGUUCGGCUGGACCGGAUACAGGUGCUGCAUGGCUGUCGUCAGCUCGUGUCGUGAGAUGUUGGGUUAAGUCCCGCAACGAGCGCAACCCUCGCCCUUAGUUGCCAGCAUUUAGUUGGGCACUCUAAGGGGACUGCCGGUGAUAAGCCGAGAGGAAGGUGGGGAUGACGUCAAGUCCUCAUGGCCCUUACGGGCUGGGCUACACACGUGCUACAAUGGUGGUGACAGUGGGCAGCGAGCACGCGAGUGUGAGCUAAUCUCCAAAAGCCAUCUCAGUUCGGAUUGCACUCUGCAACUCGAGUGCAUGAAGUUGGAAUCGCUAGUAAUCGCGGAUCAGCAUGCCGCGGUGAAUACCGGUUCCCGGGCCUU
rnacentral:rRNA from 1 species